GGCGCGCGCCGGCUCCGCCAAGAGCGUGGGGUUGCCGUGGCAACCAGUGCGGACUGCCCUAGGGAUCCUCUGGAAUAGAAUUCCCCGGCCAGCUGCGCUCCGUCUUGGGUUCCCUAUCUGGAGUGACUUAGAGGAGAGAAGCAGUGUGGUGCAGUGGCCAACAGGGAACUGAAGCUUUCUGUCAACAGUCAUGUGAAUGAGCUGUUUUGGAAGUCCAGCCCUACUUGACAUCCUGACUACAACCUCAGGAGAGAUUCUGAGACAGCCACCCAGCUGUUCUUUCUCAGAUCUUACACUGGGCCAGCUGCCAUGCUAUUCUAUGGGAAGGAUCACGUGAAAAAGAAGUGAGGCUUCUGGCUAACAGAUAAAUGAGUGAUAAAUGAGCUUGGAAGUGAAUCCACCAGCCCCAGUCAAACCUUCAAAUGACCGCAGGUCUGGCCAACAUCUUGAUUAUAAACCACGUAAGUGUCCCUGUACCAGAAUCAUUUCAUUAAGCUGCUGCCAAAUUCUUGACCCACAGACACUGAGAUAAUAAAUGCUUGUUGUUUUAAGAC